CUACCCAAGACUAAAAAAAUACCACGACAUAUACAAAAUUAUAAUUGAAUAUCUCGAAAAAAUUAAGAUAAGCAUUUGAAUAACCAACCAGUAACCAAACCAAUAGAUUGGCGAUUUCCAAGUACGCGAGGGCGGACAAUUAACUCCACGGCACUUACGGGCUUUGCGGAAACUUAAACCACAAUUGGACGAAAUUGGUGGCUUUGGUGUCAUUGCCACAUCGCACCCAACCUUCCUUGGGUGCCCCACGGGUAAUGUUGGAGGCACACCCCAUCUCCGGCAGACCGAAGUCUAUUCCUUGUGGAUUAUGAUCGACUCAUCUCCCCGCCCAAUACAGACAUAGUUAGACGCGCGGCUAGGGCGCGGAAUUAAGCUUCUAAUUCCAGAUUAGAAUUUACAAGUUGAACGUUUGGUCAUGGUCGACGCUGCAGCAAAAAGGGAGAGACUGCUUGCGGCGAUUACCAGCACGAGUACGGUACCUAAUAGUCCGGAGGAAGCUCAACCUUUGGCCAGAAGGGACCGGAUGCAUUGCGUCGGUGGUCCCAGGGAUGACUACGUACCCAGCGCGGGUAUUCGUUCCCGGUACGGACUCAUCGAGGGAAUCACCGUAUGUGGUCGUCACGGAAACAAUUGCUGGAGGCGUUGAUGCCGCUGCUGAUCUCUGCAGCUGCUGCUGCUGAUGUUGCUGCGGAUCGCUGCUGAAUGCUGCUGCGGAUCGCUUCUGAUGCUGCUGCGGAUCGCUGCUGACGGUCAGGUGCAGCCUACUUAUCGUCUAAGGACGACGUGGUCUCCACGACUAGGUUAGGUCUGCCAGUUAAGUGUCUUCUGUUCACGAGUUUCUAAAAUUAGAUAGGGUUCCUAGUGCUUGAACUUACCUAUGCACAAAUAACAAAUUUUAAGUACUCCUUUUUU